rnacentral:rRNA from 1 species
GACGAACGCUGGCGGCGUGCUUAACACAUGCAAGUCGAACGGAAAGGCCCUGCUUUUGUGGGGUGCUCGAGUGGCGAACGGGUGAGUAACACGUGAGUAACCUGCCCUUGACUUUGGGAUAACUUCAGGAAACUGGGGCUAAUACCGGAUAGGAGCUCCUGCUGCAUGGUGGGGGUUGGAAAGUUUCGUCGGUUGGGGAUGGACUCGCGGCUUAUCAGCUUGUUGGUGGGGUAGUGGCUUACCAAGGCUUUGACGGGUAGCCGGCCUGAGAGGGUGACCGGCCACAUGGGGACUGAGAUACGGCCCAGACUCCUACGGGAGGCAGCAGUGGGGAAUAUUGCACAAUGGGCGGAAGCCUGAUGCAGCAACGCCGCGUGCGGGAUGACGGCCUUCGGGUUGUAAACCUCUUUCGCCUGUGACGAAGCGUGAGUGACGGUAAUGGGUAAAGAAGCACCGGCUAACUACGUG